rnacentral:lncRNA from 1 species
UUGAUGAUGCCAUAGCCGACGGCGUCGACAUUAUAUCUGCGUCCAUCGGCCCGGAUCCUCCUCAGGCCAACUAUUUCGAGGAUGCUAUAUCCAUCGGAGCGUUCCAUGCCCUGCAGAAAAACAUCCUCGUGUCAUGCUCUGCCGGAAACAGUGGAGACCCUUUCACGGCUACCAACCUUUCGCCAUGGAUACUGACGGUUGCAGCGAGCUCCAUAGACAGGAGGUUUGAAGCCGAUGUGGUGCUUGGAAACGGAAAAAUACUUCAGGUAAGCUGUUGACAAUAUCUGCAACGAGUUGAGCCUGACUUUGGAAACAGGGACUCGCUGUUAAUCCAUACGAUUCUCAGUUCUUCCCUGUGGUUCUGGGAAAGGAUCUUGCUGCCGCAGGAGUGACGCCUGCAAAUGCAAGGUAAUACAAGUCAUUCGAGGAAACUCAAUGGUACCUAGUUGCUUUGUUGCGCAGUUUUUGCCAUGCGGACUCCCUGGACGACGUUAGAACCAAGGGGAAAAUAGUUGUUUGCCAGCAUGAAAUCCCGAUCGAGUCGAGGGGAGCCAAGGCCGCCGAAGUGAGUCGAGCUGGUGGUGCUGGAAUGAUCGACAUCAAUCCUGAAGUUAAAGACCUGGCACAACCUUUCGUGGUCCCUGCAUCACUGACCGACGAGGCCCAAGCGUCCAUUCUCCGUGCAUAUCUAAAUUCCACCAGGUGAGCAGCCAAAAGUAUCUAUCUCCGGCCUCGUCUCUUAACACCCCCUGGGAAAAAAACCAACCAGCUC